rnacentral:RNase_P_RNA from 1 species
CGAGCAGGCUGUUCUAUCGCUCCGCUUAGGCGGUGAGGAAAGUCCGGGCAGCACAGAGCAUCACGCUUCCUAAUUAGAAGAUAUCUGAAAAGGUAUAGCUAUGCAACAGAAAACAACCGCCACGAUUUUUCGCGGUAAGGGUGAAAAGGUGGGGCAAGAGCCUACCGGUGUUGUGGUAACACAACAGCCGUGUAACUCGUGAGCUGCAAGACCAUGUAAACCGGCGCUUUAGGGUUGCUCGCCCGAUGCCGGAGGGUAGGUCGCUGGAUUUCGUAAGCAAUUACGAAACAAGAUAAAUGAUAGAAAUUUCGGUUUACCGAAAUACAGAACCCGGCUUACAGGCCUGCUUUUUUU